rnacentral:rRNA from 1 species
AGGAUGAACGCUGGCGGCGUGCUUAACACAUGCAAGUCACGGGGGCCCAGCAAUGGGCAACCGGCGAACGGGUGCGUAACACGUGAGCAACCUACCUAAGUGAGGGGGAUAGCCGGCCCAACGGCCGGGUAAUACCGCAUACGCUCGAAUUGAGGCAUUUUGAUUCGAGGAAACCUACGGGGCACUAUGAGGGGCUCGCGGCCUAUCAGCUAGUUGGUGAGGUAACGGCUCACCAAGGCGACGACGGGUA